AGUUAGUCGCGUAGGGUACAGAGGUAAGAUGUUCUAUCUUUCAGACCUUUUACUUCACGUAAUCGGAUUUGGCUGAAUAUUUUAGCCGCCCCA
rnacentral:misc_RNA from 1 species